rnacentral:pre_miRNA from 1 species
AGGUCGGGAGAAGAAACAAUGUUUCCAACCGAUAUUGCACUUGUCCCGGCUUGC